CGUAAAAAAGAAUUGUUUGUACUUUUUAUUUCGUGAUUAUCGCGAUUAAAAUAGGUGGAAGUGUCUCGGAAGUACUCAAAAGGACUAAUUAUUCAAGAGAAAUUCACAUGUCUAAAACUUUGAUGAGAAGUUUGGAAAACCGUUAGCCGACAAGAAAAUUAAUUAUUUAUGAAAAUCUUAGCCUGUAUUCGCUGUUUUUGAAGUUCAGAUUUAUAAGAAUUAUGAGGAUACCUGUAUGACAGAAGAAUCUUUAAAAAAGCAUGUAUAUCAUUUAGAAAAUUGGCUUCUCCGUGUAAAAUGUAUAAUGUUAAGUGAUAUUUCCAUUCUAUUCAUAAGUCUUCAACGAUUUUUUGGAAAAUGGCAUAAUAAUUUGAAGACAUGUUAAAAACCAGAACAUUUUCGGAGGACAAUGGAAGAGUUAUAGAGAUAUAAU